rnacentral:rRNA from 1 species
AUUGAACGCUGGCGGCAUGCCUUACACAUGCAAGCCGAACGGCAGCACGGGAGCAAUCCUGGUGGCGAGUGGCGAACGGGUGAGUAAAGUAUCGGAACGUGCCCAGUCGUGGGGGAUAACGUAGCGAAAGUUACGCUAAUACCGCAUACGAUCUAUGGAUGAAAGCGGGGGAUCGCAAGACCUCGCGCGAUUGGAGCGGCCGAUAUCAGAUUAGGUAGUUGGUGGGGUAAAGGCUCACCAAGCCGACGAUCUGUAGCUGGUCUGAGAGGACGACCAGCCACACUGGGACUGAGACACGGCCCAGACUCCUACGGGAGGCAGCAGUGGGGAAUUUUGGACAAUGGGCGAAAGCCUGAUUCAGCCAUGCCGCGUGCAGGAUGAAGGCCUUCGGGUUGUAAACUGCUUUUGUACGGAACGAAAAGGUUUGGCCUAAUAAGCUGAGCUCAUGACGGUACCGUAAGAAUAAGCACCGGCUAACUACGUGCCAGCAGCCGCCGUAA